rnacentral:rRNA from 1 species
ACCGGAUGUGCCGAGAGGUAGAAAGGUUAACUGCCUGAAGAUGAGCUCGCGUCUGAUUAGGCUAGUUAGGUGUGGUAAAGGCGCACCUAGGCAGACGAUCAGUAGCUGGUCUUGAGAGGACGAUCAGCCACACUGGGACUGAGACACGGCCCAGACUCCUACGGGAGGCAGCAGUGGGGAAUUUUCCGCAAUGGGCGAAAAGCCUGACGGAGCAAUAACCGCGUGAGGGAGGAAGGCUCUAUGGGUCGUAAACCUCUUUUCUCAGGGAAGAACACAAUGACGGUACCUGAGGAAUAAGCAUCGGCUAACUCCGUGCCAGCAGCCGCGGUAAUACGGAGGAUGCAAGCGUUAUCCGGAAUGAUUGGAGCGUAAAGCGUCCGCAGGUGGCGAUGUAAGUCUGCUGUUAAAGAGUCUAGCUCAACUAGAUAAGAGGCAGUGGAAACUACAUAGCUAGAGUACGUUCGGCGGCAGAGGGAAUUCCUUUGGUGUAGCGGUGAAAUGCGUAGAGAUCAGGAAGAACACCAGUGGCGAAGGCGCUCUGCUAGGCCGUAACUGACACUGAGGGACGAAAGCUAGGGGAAGCGAAUGGGAUUAGAUACCCCAGUAGUCCUAGCCGUAAAUCGAUGGAUACUAGGCGUGGCUUGUAUCGACCCCGAGCCGUG